rnacentral:tRNA from 1 species
GGGUAGCAGUCGAUAGGAAAUGGUCAAAAACUGACUUUUAAUCAGUAGGUCGCUGGUUCGAACCCAGCAGGGCUCACCA